UACGAAGGGGGCAAGCGUUGUUCAGAUUUACUGGGCGUAAAGCGUGCGCAGGCGGUUCGCCAAGUCAGGUGUGAAAUCCCCGGGCUUAACCUGGGAAUUGCGCUUGAAACUAGCGGGCUUGAGUGCGGCAGAGGGGGGUGGAAUUCCACGUGUAGCAGUGAAAUGCGUAGAGAUGUGGAGGAACACCGAUGGCGAAGGCAGCCCCCUGGGUCGACACUGACGCUCAUGCACGAAAGCGUGGGGAGCAAACAGG
rnacentral:rRNA from 1 species